rnacentral:lncRNA from 1 species
UGCCUGCAUACUGCCAUGCUCCUUGCCAUGAUGAUAAUGGACUGAACCUCUGAAACUAAAAUUCCUUCUAGAUCUUCUGGACCGCUGUACCCAACCUACUUUAUGUUUUUUCUCUCCAUUGGGAAGUUCUUUCAUCACCUCUGAGUUGCUUAUCAGAUUCCUUCGAAUGUUGACUUUGGUCAGAGAGACUUCAUUAUGCAAUGGCAAUUUCAGAGAUGCAUAACUGGUAAGAUUGUUGCAAGUUUAGAAAUAAAUAGGACAUCUGUGUCACUCCCUCCAAGGCCCAGGACUAUCACUGAAGAUCAGAAACAUCCUAAGGAUCAGAAAGAACUGAAGCCAAUAAGAAGGGGGAGAGUACUUCAGAACUCUGUCAUUCAGGUAUGACCGGGCUGUUGAGCUCUGGAACUCACUGCAAUCAACAACCUGUCAUGGAAAGUAUGAGGGUCAACUGGGUCUUACCCAUCCUGAGGAUCUAGAUGGUUGAUAGGAGGAGA